rnacentral:rRNA from 1 species
AACGAACGCUGGCGGCAGGCUUAACACAUGCGAGUCGAGCGCCCCGCCAGGGGAGCGGCCGACGGGUGAGUACCGCGUGGGAACGUACCUUUUGGUUCGGAACAACUCCGGGAAACUGGAGCUAAUACCGGAUAAGCCCUAACGGGGAAAGAUUUAUCGCCGAAAGAUCGGCCCGCGUCUGAUUAGCUAGUUGGUGAGGUAACGGCUCACCAAGGCGACGAUCAGUAGCUGGUCUGAGAGGAUGAUCAGCCACACUGGGACUGAGGCACGGCCCAGACUCGGCGGGGACGCAGGGGCGGGAAAGAGCGACGAAGGGGCGCAAGCGGGAGCGAGCGGGGGGGGGGGAGGAAGGAAGGACGGGGGGUGUAAAGGUGCUGUGGUCGGGGAAGAGAAUGACUGAGGAAGAAGAAUAACCCGGUGAUGAGUGCGCGACAAGACGGGGGGUAAUAAAGGCAGGAGAGGCCAGUAGAAG